rnacentral:rRNA from 1 species
AGCGAACGCUGGCGGUAGGCCUAACACAUGCAAGUCGAACGGCAGCACAGUAAGAGCUUGCUCUUACGGGUGGCGAGUGGCGGACGGGUGAGGAAUACAUCGGAAUCUACUUUUUCGUGGGGGAUAACGUAGGGAAACUUACGCUAAUACCGCAUACGACCUACGGGUGAAAGCAGGGGAUCUUCGCACCUUGCGCGAUUGAAUGAGCCGAUGUCGGAUUAGCUAGUUGGCGGGGUAAAGGCCCACCAAGGCGACGAUCCGUAGCUGGUCUGAGAGGAUGAUCAGCCACACUGGAACUGAGACACGGUCCAGACUCCUACGGGAGGCAGCAGUGGGGAAUAUUGGACAAUGGGCGCAAGCCUGAUCCAGCCAUACCGCGUGGGUGAAGAAGGCCUUCGGGUUGUAAAGCCCUUUUGUUGGGAAAGAAAAGCAGCAGGUUAAUACCCCGCUGUUCUGACGGUACCCAAAGAAUAAGCACCGGCUAACUUCGUG